UACAGAGGGUGCGAGCGUUGUUCGGAAUUACUGGGCGUAAAGCGUAUGUAGGCGGAUCGUUAAGUCGGGGGUGAAAUCCCGAGGCUCAACCUCGGAACUGCCUUCGAUACUGGCGAUCUUGAGUCCGGGAGAGGUGAGUGGAACUGCGAGUGUAGAGGUGAAAUUCGUAGAUAUUCGCAAGAACACCAGUGGCGAAGGCGGCUCACUGGCCCGGUACUGACGCUGAGGUGCGAAAGCGUGGGGAGCAAACAGG
rnacentral:rRNA from 1 species